rnacentral:rRNA from 1 species
GUAGGUGGCAAGCGUUGUCCGGAAUUAUUGGGCGCAAAGCGCGCGCAGGCGGUCCUUUAAGUCUGAUGUGAAAGCCCACGGCUCAACCGUGGAGGGUCAUUGGAAACUGGGGGACUUGAGUACAGAAGAGGAAAGCGGAAUUCCAAGUGUAGCGGUGAAAUGCGUAGAGAUUUGGAGGAACACCAGUGGCGAAGGCGGCUUUCUGGUCUGUAACUGACGCUGAGGCGCGAAAGCGUGGGGAGCAAACAGGGAUUAGAUACCCUGGUAGUCCACGCCGUAAACGAUGAGUGCUAAGUGUUAGGGGGUUUCCCGCCCCUUAGUGCUGCAGCUAACGCAUUAAGCACUCCGCCUGGGGAGUACGGCCGCAAGGCUG